CGGUUCGGUAUCGAUUCAGACCGAACCGAAUCGGUACCGAACCAGUUGGGCGUGCUGGUUCAUGCACCGGCACAUCCUAAUUUUUUUUUGGAAGUUCUCUCUUUUUGAACUUUUUCUAUGAAUUUAAGUCUAAUUUGAUGUUUUUUUAUGUUUUCUUGAUUUUUUUUUUGAUGUUUUCUGACGUUUCUAUGAUUUCGGUUUAAGCUAGAUGAUACAUUUUAUUGCUUUAAAAUGAUAUAAAUCAUGAAAUAAACAACAAAAAAUAUCUUGAAAUCAAGAUACAAUCAAUUACAUAUUUUUAAAGUCCAACAAUCAUACACAAUGAUAUCUAAAAUCGGAUCGAGUGGCGAUGCCUCUCGUAGAUAUCCAGAUUAUCAGCAUAAUCAGGAGGCACAUCAACCCAUCCCUCUAACCAAGCGGCGUUGUAGUUUUGUAUGUUCAUCCCAUAAGGAACGUGCGCUGGAUUAUAAGCACUCUUGGAUCUCUCGCCGAAGCUUUGGCUCAGAGAGGUGUUCUUUGGCUGAAAAUACGGCUGUGGGGGGGCCCAUCCGAAUAUGCUGGUAGCAAAAUUCGAUCCGUAAGAUGCUUCGGGUUGCAUAGGAUAGUAACCACCGAAAGAUGCCUCGGACGCACCAUAUCUGUAUCCGUAUGGGAUGUGCUGCGGAUAAUAGGAUCCAGUAUAAGACUCGAAACCUGAUAUAUCUAUGGAUCCUACUCCACGUGCAAGAUCAUCUACAGCUACAUCGUAUCCUUCUGAAUGACCUCGAGGAGCCCAUCUUCUAUAUGCAAUUGUAUCCUCGCGGGUUCUGCCAGAUCGUCCACCGUGGUUCUGAUCCUAUAUAGCAUGCGUAAAUUGGGACUCAUCGGUGUAUCGAAGACCAUCCUGCAACCGUGUCUCAUAAACAGUAGUUUUCUGUGCUCCACUCCCCCCAUGACCAGCAGAUCCAUGACUACCAGAACUGUCAUUACAACGGGCCACAGGCUCUAGCUUAGUGCCAACUGGUUUGCACCAAGUCCGAGUUUUCCUAUAGCGAACCGACUCGAUCUGUGAUCGGGUCGGCUCGGUUCGGGCUGAACGGGGCGCUACGGCCUGGUUCAGCAAACCUUUGUUUGAAGGAUACUUAACAAGAGCCAGGGUGAUGUAUCCAACAUGCUACCUGAUUACCAGGGCUGUUCGGGGCCUCUUUACUAGGAUCAACUUGGGUCCAUAGAAAAAAGAGACAGAACUCUGUAUUGGGAUCCAUGGGACUGCUUAAAGAGAGAGAGGGAGAAGAGAGAGAAAGCGGGAUGCUUUGCCUCUCUUAGAAAAGGAAGAGAAGGCUAGGGUUGCUAAAGAUCGUGCCAGGGAUAUGGUCAAUGGCCGAAGGUGGUGAACAACCAAUGGCAGCAAUCAACUAGCUGGAAAACAAGGGAAAAAGGGUUGGAAAGAUAGGGAAACAAUGGGUUUUCUUUAUUUUUGGCCAUUGGCCGCUCACCGGUUGCUUCUCUACCAUGGAGGGUCAUGGAGAGGCCUUGGAAGUUUGUUCAAGGGUCCGAUAUCAAGAGGUGGCCGCACUAGUGGUCAGAAAAAGGAGAAAAGCGGCAAAAUAGGGGUGAAACAAGGGUUUCUCUUUCUCGGUCGAUUUCCGGUGAAAUCGAGGUGGGGGGCGGUGGUUUAAGGCUUUGGAAAGAAGAGGAAGCAAAGGGAAGGAAGAUCGGGGCUUUACCUUGGCUCCAGUGAGUGUUGCGCCUUGAUUUCCAGCAGGCGCAGUGAUGAGAUGCUGUGAACUCAAAGGGAGAAAAGAGGGAGAAAGAGAUAGAAUAAGCGGUGCUACUCGGUGGUGGAUAGUCAUGGAGGGGAGGGGUGUUUAAUUAUUGAGGAGACCUAGAGUUCCGGUGGCCCUAGUUUUCCGACUCAUAGUUGAAGUCUCGUGGAAGAAGAAAGGAAAGAAGAGUCACGGUGGAGUCUUCCACCCAUCAUGCAUGAAGCACGCCCAGCGUCGGUUGGGCUGGGCCACGGGUUGGUUUGGCCGGUUGAGCGGACCAUGCCAGACUUGGUCAUCUCAAGAAUAUAGUAAGAUGAAGAACAAUAUGCAACAAAGAGAAAAGCAAAAUAGCAUGAGCAUUAUACCACCCUAGAAUUAUAAAAAAUAAUUAGAUAAUUAACUCAAAUUCUUGAUUUUCAACUCUUCAUAAACUAAAUUCUGAUGCUCCUCAUUCCCUUAAUCUAAUCUAAACAUUAGUAAAGGAGACAAUCUAUAUGACUGGAACUAGUUAACAACUAAGCUAGCAGACUUCUGCUAGUCUUCUUAAACAAUAAACAUGCUUAUGGUGAGUGCAUGUGUAUAUACUGAAUCUGUAUGGCAGUUGUUUUAAGUCAGUGGUGUGGUCUAUAUUGAGCAGGAGGGUUCUGCAGUAUUAUGGUUAUAAUUCCUCAUCUAAACUUUGCUUGCCAUAAUAUUGGAUGAUUGGAUGUGCUUUUAUAGGGCUUCCAGAUCAUGUAGCCUUGUUAUAGAAUUCUUAAUAUACUUGUCCUCUUUUUCUCUCAGGUGCUAAUAUAUGAUUUGCUGGGCUGCAAUCAGUUUUUGACUGCAUCGGUUUCAAAGGAACAGAAAUUAAUUCACUAUAUAGCAUGGCAAUCACUGAUAAAAUCAACAUUUUCACAUGCAGUGAGACAACUACCUUAGGGAACUAAUACAUCAUCUCUGUUUUAGGUAGUUCUGUCAGUAUAGCCUUUUCGAGAACAAUAGUUUUAUCAGAAUAGUAACUGAUCCGGUUAUUAGGUUUUCAUUAGCAGAGUAAGAUCUUUUUAUUUUUGAUGUUUCCAAGUUUAUAUUGUAAGUUUUUGAUUUAUAUUUAUAUAGAACACAUACCGGAACUGUGAAUAACAUGUGACAGAAGUUGAGAAAGAUUGUAUAUGUCCACUAAUUCACCUGAUCAGUGGAGCAUGAUAAUAUUCUUAAAAUAAUUUGUUUAUUUUAUUGGAAAUUUAUGUUUAUGGUAAAAUACUCAACUCAACUAAGCCUUAAUCACAUUCUAUUAGGGUCGGUUACGUGAAUCCUUUUCCUCCAUGCCAUUCUGUUUAGGGCCAUAUCAUUCACUCCACUUAUGUUUUGGACAUAGCAUAUCCCAAGCCCAGAUAAAAGAGGAGGAUUGUGAUAGGUUGAUGGCGAGCAUAAAAUUACAGUCACAUCCUAUGAACAUGAUUCAUGGUAAAAAGAAAUAUUUAUUAUAGCUGUACAAAGUACGAAUUCCCAUAAUUCUUGAUUUCUUGGGGUUUAAAAUUUACAUAUUUCACAAAAUUUUUGAAAUUAUCUUCAGGCAAUCAGUUUUUUUAAAAAAAAAAUUAAAGGGGGUAGUAUUUGUUAUUAAUGCAUCAUUUCAGAAAUUAAAGCAACUCUGAGACAGUGAAGACUUAUAUGUAGGUGUUUUACUUGAUGCCUUGCAACUGACAUGGUUAGCAAUGCACCAUUCAACUUUAUCAAAGCAGCAUUCUGCUACCACAUCUUGUUCUUGUUAGCCAUGAACUGACUUUGAUUCCUGCGCCACAUUGCUCAUAUGAUACGAUGAGCUCUAAUUGAUCAUCUUUAUUAUGAAACAGCUAGAUCUAAAGAGCCUCUAAAUUUUUCUAUGAGGUUGCGCAUUGCAUUGGGUUCUGCCAGGGGCAUUCUCUACCUUCAUACAGAAGCAGAUCCUCCUAUAUUCCAUAGAGACAUCAAAGCCACCAACAUCUUGUUGGACCCCAAAUUUAUUGCCAAGGUUGCUGAUUUUGGACUCUCGCGUCUUGCACCAGUCCCAGACACUGAAGGGACUGUACCUGCUCAUGUUUCGACAGUAGUGAAGGGCACCCCGGUAAGUAUGGACUAAUAUGAGUUUUGUUAAUAGUUUCCUUGCUAUAAUAUCUCUGUAAAUCCACUGCUAGUCUUCACAUGUUCUUAAUUUUGAAAAACUUAUCUGAGAAACUGGUCAUCUACUUUGCUGAAUUGAAACUUUGGAUCUAAAAAUGUAAGGGAAAUUAAUUUAGUGUUUUUUGUGCGGGUGCCAAACAUUUUUUUUUUCCAGUUUUUUUGGUAUUAAUAGUGUCUGGUCAUGUAUUAGCCAUCAUAGAGGUCAAAUAAUGGCGGCCACUUGAACCGUGAUGGACAAUGAAAAGUAUACUGUUCUACACUUCUACUGUUUAUCAACUUCAAAAUGGCUUAGUGCCUAGCCAUCUCUUUGAUGACUAGAGAUGAUUUAAUAACAAAAAUACACCCAUACAAGCUAUCUGAUGAUUAAUCAAGUUCUGGGCUGUGGAAUGGAGAUUUGAUCAGUUUGCUGUUUUAAUAAUGAUAACCUACAUCUGGAUAUUGAACCAUCUGCUCCUGGUGCUGAGGCUUCAUGCUCAUAGUUUUUACAAUGUGUUAUUAUCUGUUAAGAGAUACUUUAGCCCCACAAUAUGUGGUUUCCAGAAUUUACUCAAUAAAAACAGCGUGCCUUAUCUCCUCAACCUGUGACUGGCUCUGCUUUCCUACCUCAUCUCUCAACUUUUAUCUUAAAUCUCGAAUGGUCUCAAUCAUUUUUAUCCCCAUUCAGAAUGUGACAGCAUCAUCACAUUAAGGUGGAUUGUAUCAUCUCACUGUAGAUCAGUCUUCUCAAGAUUCAAAGAUAUCUUCUAUAGAAUAUUAGUCAGAAUAACUUUCGGAGCUAUUUUAAUGUUCUUGACUAUCGUUUGCCCAAAAAGAAGACAGGCUUGCAAAAUAUAGAACCUGUCAGCCAAUUGUUUGAGUGAGUACAUAUAUGAAGAUACGUAACCAUCAUUUUUAUCCUUUAUCACCUAAAACUCCCAGCAUAUCAGAGGCAGAGAGAUGUACCUGAGAUGAAGUUGUGAUUAGACAAGGAAUAUUACAAGCAAGGUUCGCCAUACCGGUACUGGACCUCGUACCGGUGCCACACUAGCAUAGGCGUGCCGAGUGUCAGUACGGUAUGGUACACGGGAUGCCAUGUGUACCGUUAUCGGUACCGAAUCGGUACGCUAUGCCACGUACCGACCGGUUUGGUACGGUACAGCAUACCAACUUGUAGAAUAGGUGGGAACAGAGAUGGGUGAACCUAUGUAUCCUCAAAAGAGGAAAGAGUUAUAGGUUUGUAUUUAGAAGAGGACACAUGAAUUGCCCUAAAGACAACCUAGAAAAAAAUAUAUGAUGGGAUGCUAAAAGGUGAAACAAAGUUUUUAAGUACUCACCUGUACUGGGUGGUAUAGGAUGUAUUGAACUGAUCCGUAUGCUACCAAUACAGUACCCCACCGCCACACCCAUCCCCCAAAAACUGAUAUAUGAUAGAGGUUUAUUGCCGACUUCAGCAGUGUACCAUGUCCAGGGCAUAGGGUACCAUAUAAUAUCAGUAAGAAACCAGUAUGAGACCCAAUGACGAGACUUAAAACCUUGAUGUGAAAAUUUUGACUCUAGGGAGUCUCAAGUAUGAUGGGCCUAAAGAUGGAGAACUUGGCACUUAAAAGGUUCAAAAUCAAAGAACUAUGCCAUUGAAAUUGCUGGCAGCACCAACUGUCAUCGACUCAUAAGAAUAGCGAAGGUUUUGCAUAUACGGGUUGAAGGAAGUGACUAUAGCUUAGAACUCCUCACAAAAAUCUAGACAGAGGGUACAAACUUUAAAAUGGUCUAAACAUCCUAUUGAGAAAAAAGAUGUGUUUAGUAAUUGAUAAUUUUAAUUGCUGCCUAACUGUAAAAACAUUUUGAUGGGACAAUUCUAGACCAGAAUAUGUCAAAAGAAUUAAUAAUUGCAGUCUCUGGAUCUUGCACCAGUAAUUCGAUCUCUUCGAACAUCCCCUGUUGCAUGAGUGUCUGAAAUCAAGCAUCAUUUCUAGGUCACAAGCAUCAGUGGCUUCCCUUCAUUUUCUUAUCUCAAGCAUCACAUUCGCCAAUCCUUUUCCAUUAGAAUAACUAAAUGCUUUCCGGACCACAUUCUUGUUUUUCAUAAGCGGGACUUUAUUUGAUGCUUACAUCUGCAUACCUCUCAUGUCCUCGUUUACAUUCUACUUAGCAAGCUAUGGUCUUUACAAUCAUACGUUCUCUUUCUUCCACAUAUCCAUUCUAGUAAGCAUGUUUGAACUUAAAACAAACAUGCAAUAUGUUGCGCUUAUAGGAUUAUUUAGCUGUCAGGUUUUACUGAAACUCUUGUUUGGAUGUUUUUCAUGAUGCCUGUUUUAGAUAAAAUGACAGAUCAUAAAACCUGAAAAUUGAGUUUCACAAGAAAAUAGGCAUUCCCUGCUUUUCAUUUAGCUUGUUUUAUGUCAAAUCUGGUCAAAUGAUUAUCUGUUUUGACAAAAUUCAGGGACAACCAAACAGCCUCUAAAUAUUGCUGACGAAUUUCAGACUUUAAAAGAUUUAUAAAUUACAGUCAUUGAUGAUAUAUCAGUAUUGUAUGAGUGUAUACAUCAUAAUCUCAAGCAUUGAUAUGAGAAUAUGCCCCACCAUAACUGAUUACUGUCUCCCAGUAAUAAAUGCUUCACCAUUAUUGCACCAUUCCAACAUUGGUCCUCUUAAUCACAUCAUAGUUGCACUGUGCGGUGCAUUUAUGGAUAACUAUAAUAUCAUGUUUUGUUCAUGUUUUUGGAGGUCCAUUGCACUUCAUGCCCAUGUCUCUUGCAAAUGUAAGCUUCCUAUACUCCUUUCUUGCAAAUCACUCCAAAUUCUAAGGUCUUCUUUUUAGAACAUUCAAUGGAAGCUCGAACCAUUCUUCUUGCAUUUAAUAAAUUGUACAUCAAUUUUAUCCUUUACCAUUGCAUUUCCUAACCUUCUUGGACAUUCAUCUCCAGUAUUUGUGAUCCAUCAAAUUUUUAUCAUAACAUGCAUAGAUAUUGUCUAAUUUGUGGAUAUUCUUACUUGGACUGCAUUAAGUCUGUGGUUGUAUGACGAUAUGUGUUUAUGGACAAGCAUGUUGUUUGUAUUUUCACAUGUUUCGGCAGUUCUGUGAAUUGAAUUUUAGUUUUCAUGUUCACAUUUAUAGUGGCCAAGCUCGAUGAGUAUGUUGCAUCACCGAGAAUAAUUAAAUGUGCAUGAUAUCAGCAGUAAGAUGGAAUGUCUUGAAAUGUUGAAUACACAGCCUAGUUAUAGGAAUUAGUAGCAUAAACUGCACUGUGGAGAAACUAAUGAUUUAUCUCUUCCAUAAUGUGUUCAUAAAUUAACAGGCCCUCCAUUUUGAUGGUAAUGUACAGAGGGAUGCCACGAUUUCUCCACCUAUACAUAGAUGCAUGCAUGGUGUAUAUAUAUAUAUAUAUAUAUAUAUAUANNNNNNNNNNNNNNNNNNNNUAGUGUAUAUAUAUAUAUAUAUAUAUAUAUAUAAAGAAGGAAAAGGUCUAAAUACUUGUAAAAUAGCAAAAGGUGCAUGCUUGAUUCUGAUCUCACAGAUGCAUUUUCUUUGCAGGGUUAUCUUGAUCCAGAAUACUUCCUAACUCAUAAGUUGACGGACAAAAGUGACGUGUAUAGCCUUGGAGUUGUGUUUUUAGAGCUGCUGACAGGGAUGCAUCCUAUAUCUCAUGGCAAAAACAUAGUUCGAGAGGUACGUAACUCACUCGCUACUCUUAUGUCUUUAUGCAGAUAAAGGUGUAUGUUGCUUUGAAACCAUAGAGGCUUGUGAGACUAACACCCAUUAGCAUUCCUGUUCAUGAGGGAUGCGAGCUUUGUAAAACAAAAAUUGACUAGAUAUAGAGAGAAGGCGUGGGCUGAUCUCCCUGUUGGCUUAGGCGAAAAAAGGCACCGUGUCUCUUUUGUACCCCAUCAAGGCACAUAUCAUACAUAUGAGAUUAGAAAUAGUUUGAACCAUGAAGGAAGAUUGUAAGAUAUGAACUGGUUCCCCUUUCUGUUCUUUUCUUUUUUGAGCAAAAUGGUGGUGCAGGAGCUCUAUCGUUCCUUUCAUGAGACAAUGGAAUGAGAAAAGUAUAUGAAUUAGUAAUUUAAACUCACAGUUACACUUAUGUAAUUGCCACAGUAUUGUAGCUUGCUUAAAAAACCCCAAAUAUUUUGUCAUCUAAUAUAAUGGCAACCCAUAGUUCUGCUCAUAGCUGUUUCCCUGUAUUUCUUGAUUCUAGGUAAGCACUGCCUAUCAGUCUGGAAUGAUGUUUUCAGUCAUCGACAGCCGCAUGGGCUCAUACCCAUCUGAAUGCAUUGAGAAGUUUGUAUCAUUGGCACUUAGAUGUUGCCAAGACGAGACAGAUGCGAGACCUUCAAUGGCCGAGGUAGUCAGGGAACUGGAGAAUAUAUGGAGAAUGACACCAGAAGCUGAUGCCACACCAUCAGAAUCCAUGGCCACUGAUGCUGGUAAAACAGUGACACCUCCUUCAUCAUCCUUGGCUGCUGGGAACCCUUAUGUGUCAUCCGAUGUUUCUGGCAGUAACCUUCUUAGUGGUGCAAUCCCGACCAUUGCCCCUCGUUGAUGGAUAGGUAAAGUUCUGGAGUAUCCAAUGGUGUAACUUUGAAAGAUGAACCGAUCUUGUCCUUCUGUUUUGUCUGCCUUCUUUUCUUUGCCUUUUUAUGUGUAUAUACAUAUACAUAUACAUACAUACAUAUAUACAUUUGUUAUGUGUUAUUUGGUAUCAUUUCAUAUUGUAGAGUGAAACAAUGUAAUCUGAUCAAAUGACAGUUGAAUCGAUGAAAAUUUUGGCCUUGGUUUGAUCUGUUUUUUUUUUUGGUUACAUCGGCUGAUCUGUUAUAUUUGACUGACCAUGUUUACACUUGAGCUACUUUCCCUGCAUCUACGUACACAUGUGCGAGUCCCACCUUCUGAACCAGCAGCCAACUGAGAACGUGUCGGCGUGAAAUCAAGGCUAACUCUGAGACAAGAUUUUCUUUUUGAGAAAAAGAAACUCCACCUGCUCUCUUAAGAUCAUAAAUUAUAGAAGCGAUAGAAAGGAGAAGGUGCAAAAAGAGAGUCGCUUCAGAGAGAUGUUAAGGGGGUCAAGAGAAAGGUCGGCAUGGAUGCCUGUGUUGAGGCAUCAGUUCUGAGUCUGGCGAGAUUGACGAGUUCUUGACAGAGAGAGAGCGUGUUUGCGUGCAUGUACAUGGGUUUUUUCCUACAGUGCAUGAUUUACAUCUGGAACUCUUAUAUAGAUCAAUCCUGUUCUAACUUCUAAGUUCCUGAUGGUGAUAGCAGGGCAUAGCUUUUUUUUUUUUGUUUUUUUAAUGUUUGCUGAGUUAUAAUCGUUAUUUAUAUUCUAUAUACGUGAAGCACCAUCAAGGAUCCAUUAUAAAUUGGUCAGGUAUGGAUCCUCGAAAGGCAAGUCCUUGGGAGAGGUGUCAACCAAGCGAUCUAACAGAUUACUGGUAGAUGCAAAUAUAAGAAACGAGAGAAGGAUUUUGAGAAGGGUACUUAAAUAGAGGCUUGGUUGAGAACCCUCCAGUCCCCCGAAACAACGGGGACAUGCGAGUCCAAUAAAAUUCUCAAAAUGUGGUUUAACUUGUCCCCUUCUUGGGGGGCUUCGACGAUUUUAAGUUACCCCAGAGUCCGAAGACUCUUCCUUCCCACUGAUGACUAGUCCUCCACCGGCAACCACAUACGGAAGAAACGAAAAAAAAAAAAAAACCGAAUGGAUAGACUGUACGGGCAUCCGAACUGCUCUUUCAAGGUCGAAGGGGGGCGAUAGAUGCACACCGUGCGGAAGAGCGUUUGUGCCAGUAUUCUGUAGAAAUUUCUGUGAUGUUGUCCACAUGGAGAUUUGAAUGUGUGUUCAUCUCUUUUGCAUUCGUCUGGUUUAGAAUCUCAUCCUGCCUCCCGGGUCAUUUAUGGGAGUAGGCAUCAAAUUAUCAUCCGCGCUAUUACGAAAUUCACAUGAUUGUCAUUGUCAUUCCCCUACCUUCAAAUGGAUGUAGAGCAGCCAUUGGACACUUCGAUUCUGAGUGUGGAGCUGAGGGCUGCUUGGGCAGGCCUUCACCAGAUCCGAUGUGUGUUACGAGCUAGCCACCGUUAUCAGUUGGAUCAUGAGGAGUCCAAGGGGUAACGACUGUAACCAUCCAUUGCUCCAGAACAUUUGGACUAUGGUGAGGAAUGGAGGGGCCUUUCAGGUCAAGCAUGUAUACUGCGAAGCCAAUGAGGUUACGGAUUGAGUAACUGUUUAUGUAACCUGUUACUCUGGUAGUACUCUCUGAGCUGGAGAUGGAAAAUUAUCCCUGGCACUUCGAGGUAUCCUAUUUUUUAUUUAUUUAUUUUUUGCUAGGACAUAUGGAUCAUCAUCAUGUAUAUUUCAUUGGUUGCAGAGACGAGCAUCUUGCUGAACUCAUUUUAAGCAUGCAGAUUAUUUGAACUCAUCAUCAUGUAUAUUUCAUUGGUAUCCCCCCCCCCCUCUGAGUCUAGUACUCUAAUGGGAUGAAUCAACAAAUCAAGAUCUUGAUAGGGAUCCAUUUCCAGUUUUCCAUCUUAUUGUCUUCUAUGUUGAAGUCGUCAAAGACACCAGCGACGGCCCAAGGUGAUCGCUUCCAUCACAUCGUCAGCAAAGGGCUUGCAAUACCUUUCAUUCGUAGUUUAAUUUCCGGUGGCCUCGCAGGCGAAUGAAUGACUACUUGGUGCAAACGAAGUCGAUGUAACCUGCCAACCCCAAUCAUGAACACCAAUUGAAGAUGAAAACCCUAGCUUUGAGACAUUGAAGUUCUCGAAAAAACAAAGGGCCCAAUCGAUAGCAGAGCUUAGAGGAUCCUCAUGCAUAAUUGAGAGUAGAAACGGAAGAAAAAAAGAGAGGAUGUAUACAAUAUUAUGUAUAGGGUGUAUAUAUAAGCUUAACUAUAUCGAACUUUUGUUAUGAUAACAACUGUAUUAAUAUUAUAACUAACAUUAUGUCAACAUUCCUCUCUCAAACUUAGGAUGAUAUGGUGGAAGUAGAGCUGAUCACGGGCCAGGCUUAGCCCAAAAAAUAUUAAAUUUCACAUAAGCCCGGUCCAAAAUCCAAUUAAAAAAUUAAUAGAAUUUAGAUCAGAGGCACAAUGCCUGAUCAACUCUAGGUCAAAACUAGCAUGAGUUUGGAAACUAAGUCUCACAAACAGCCGAGUGGAUGGGCGACGGAGAUAUUAAUUAUAUUAACACCCUCCAUGGUGUUGUUGUCGCCCUAGAGGGUGUUGAUAGGGAAAAGGAGGGCGAAGCGGGUGCCCUAAGGCUUAUAGAUGGAUGGUGGUAGAUGAUGACAAGAAUCAAAUCGGCGGCUCUAAUACCAUGAUAAAAGAAACAGAGGAAGAAAAAAAAAAGAGAUGAUGAAUCUCCAUAUCUGAAUUGUCUAUGAACUGCAUGCUAUAAUAGUAUGUACUGAGUAUGUAUAGGCUAACUCUAACAAACUUUAAUUAUAGUAACAAUUCUAUUAAUAUUAUAAGUUGGUUACGUUGAUAAUAAUUAGGUCCGAACCGGUCACAGGAGAUGGAGAAGAGGAAAAAGAAGUUGAGAUGACAGACUUGGGACUCACAAAGGGAGAAAAAAAGAGAGAGGAGGGAAUCAAGGAUGGUCAUCGAGAAGAAGAUGGAGGAGAAGGCAAGAAGCAUAGAUGGAACCGUGGAAGACGAGAGAUGCAGAAUUAUUUAUGAUUCUCUGGCCGAAUUUUAAAUUGCUUACAAUUCCAGAUUUAUAAGUGAUAUAUAAAUUGCUUCCAAGUCCCUAUUGGCAGAUACUUUUUUACCGGGAGAAACUAUUUAUAGGUCGAAUUAUUUAUUAUGAGUUCUUCGGUUGAAGGCUCAAGGAACCGACUUUAUGCUUGUAAGAUACAAGUCGAAUAGAUUAUCAACUGAAUUUCUAAUUACUUUUAGUUCUCAAAUUCUACCGCCUUAGCUUGUUAUAUUACACUUCUAAAGGAAAAAAUAUAUAUUUAAAAGCCUCUACAUUACCUUUAAUGAUACCUUGAAUUACUAUAAGUUGCUGAGUUGAAAGCUACACAAUGUUUGCUGGCUUUGUCAAUUUUAUUCAUUUUGGAAUUUAUUAGGGAUGACGAACUUGGUUGAUUAGUUAUGAGUCCCCUUAUCCAAGUGACAAAGGUUGAUACCAUCUAGGUAAGCACUUAACGAUAAUUAUGUAGUAUAAUACUAUAUACAUGUAAGUAUGUAUAUGUGUUUGCAUAAUAUGAGUUUGACUAUACAAUAAAUAUUAAAUAUUUGGUAAAAGAUUUAAGAUUAAAAUCAAUGAAAGACUAUGCAAAUUAUAGAUUCAAACUAUGAUUAAAUCUACACUAUAUUUGACAUGUGGACUUAAAAUAAUAUAUUUUGUUAUUCUUCAACCUAAGUAACAAGUUGAUUAAAGAUCGACAUAUUUUUCUAUAAUUCAGUUAUCAAAACCUAUUAAAUUAAAAUUUAUCCGUGGUUUUAGAUGUGUAGGCCACGAUCAAUGAAUGGAUUUUUGAUUUAAAAUUAUGAUUUUUAGUUUGUAUUAUUUUCUAAAACUAUAGAUCAACUUUAAUAGCAUGCAAGAUCCAUUAUUAUUUUUCUAGUCAUUAGACUUUUUUUAAAAAACAAAUAGUAUAUUUAGCGUGUGGCCUAACUCAUAUAUUAAAAGCUUUAGUAGUUGAUAUGGACCAAGAUUAUCGGAAAAGAUAUGCAAAAACUUGAAAUUAUAUUAAAGACAGUUGUAAAAUAGUUGAGAGAAGUUUUGAUGGUUAUGACUAUGGUUAUAGAAGUUGAUAGCCUAGACAAUUUUUUUAUAGUUUAUAGAGUGAUAGUACAUGUUUUUGAUUAAUAUAAACAAAUCUUGAUUCAUACUUGGUACAUAUUCGAACUAGUGUUAAUUCAAUUCGACAUUACCAAGUUCACUAACUAUAGCUAUAUUUAACUUGAGUCCAAAAUGAGCUCAAAUCAUGCUAUGAUAAACAAAUUGAACUUAAUCACAAAAUUCAUGCUCAAAGACGAAAUCAAGCCAAAGCUCGGCGGACUAGGCUGGAUCAAGCUUUCUCAACACCUUAAAUGCAAAACUAUAAUCGAUUGAUCAUCAUUGCUUACCAAGAAAACACAAAUGAACUGAUCAAUAUUUUUUAUCUCAAAAGUUUUGAAACAUUCCAAGAUCAAAGGGAGCUGACACUUCAAGCGAAUCAAUAUCUGGUAUUGAUCUGAUGCAUGCACACACGUCAAAAGCAGGCAUGGAGAAGAGGCUUUUGAAACAGAGAGGGGGUUACAUUACACGCUAUACAUGUAUAUCGUGAAGCCAAUGGGGCGGCCGACUGGGUGACAGCUAUGUAGCGAGUCACUCAGGAGGCACCCUAUGGGCUGGAAAGAAAGAGAUGCCUGGAGCACUUCGGGACCUUUUGUAUUCUGACUCUUUAGGAUGUAUUUGUAUCCGUGAUGUAUGAAAUGCUGGCUUUAGAAAAAAAAAUAAGAAAAAAAAAGGGGGCUUUUGAAACCAAAGGCAACCAAACGGGUCACACGGGCCAAUGGGCCAUCCAAUUCCAAGCCAGGUGGGUCGUGGACCAGCCUCGGCCCAUUAAAGUCGGCGGCCAUGUCCACAUUAGGGUUUUGAAGCUUCCUAGGGUUCUACGUUUCGUUUCCCUCUCCCUAUAUAAAGGGCAUUCCAUCUGGCCCCUCCCUGCGCUUUCGCUGUAGCCGCUUCUCGUCCUUCCUCCAUUCGUUUCAACCAUGGGUCGGAGUAAGUAGCUCGCCAUUUUCUGAUAGUUUGUUCUGAUUUCUAUUCCAUUUUUCUUUGAUUGGUGCUACGAUCUUUCGUGAAAGCGGCGAAAGAUUAGAGUGCAUUGGCUCUUUGUUCUAACCAACAAGAUGUGAUAUUCGUUGUUGUUUGUUGCAUUGGAAUAAUUUAUGUUUUAUGAUGUUUUGAGUUAAAUCUGUUUCACAUGAAAUCGAGUAUGCUUCGAGAGUCUUAGCUCGCUGCGGUUAAAGAUUCCUUUAACCCCGAAAGUGUUGUUUUCGAUCGCAUUUUCUUUUUUCGAUCUGAAUCUCUCUUCGGUCUGGUUUUGUUAUAUUGCUGUAGUCUUUGAGUUUCCUUACUUUCUUUUGGGUAUUAUAUUCUGUUAUUAUACUGUUGUUUUGUAUUUUUUUAGAUUCUUCUGACAUGAUAUCUUUUAAUAUGACUAUAAGAUAGGUGGUCUGUUAAAACACCUUAGGAUGUGAAUGUCCGCGAUUUGUUUGGAGAAAUUAUGAUUUAUUUACAGGAAUGGAACAGUAUUAUAUAAAGUUUUUUCCUCUCCUUUUGUGGUGCAAAAAGAAGUGAAAUGAUUGACCUGAAUUAUAGGAUUUAAGUUGCCAAAUGUUGCACGUAUUGAGAAGAUUACUGGAAAAAGAACGAAAAACUCAUGGGCCACCUUUCCCAAUGAUUCUAAUAAGGACCUACUGCACCCUUGUACAUUUCUGGCUACAGCUUAUCAAUCGCUUUGCAGUUUUUGACUAGCAUUUUUUUGGGUGGAUGCUGAUUCGCGGUAACAAGGGGGAAUUGUUUGUGUUCAGUUAUUCCCGGCAUGUGAUCGAUUAUUAUAGGUUGGAGCAACUUUUAUGCUGCUAUGAUAUUCUGUAGUUUGAAAUAAACAAUACGACUAGCUGAGCAUGUUGUUGAAGCAUUGAGCUCACUCGCAUGCUCCUUCCUUAAGAAUGGAGGAUGCGAUUAAAUCUUCUCAGAGUGCUAUUAUCUGCUAUGAUAUUUUGCUUGAAAGAACUUAAAGAAAUAAGGUUCAUGUGAGUGACAUUAUCUGUUAAUCGUUCACUCAUCAAACUACAUAUGAUAAUCCUCGCUAGUAAAUCAUGUUCACUGCAAUUAUAAAUUGACCACAGUUAACCAAUGUCACCUGAGUUCGCUGCUGCAAUAUUUAUAUGCUCAUUUUUUUAAUUUUAAAUUUUUUUCUCAUUUGAAAUUUUACAACUGGAAGGAAGUGCCUUUGGAAAGAGCUGAAUUGUUAUAUGUGAAAAAUUAUGUGUUCUGAGAUUGACAUUUUGUGGUAAUCAAAAAUCUUGGAUCAAGUUCACGGGGUUUAUAGAGUUUAUUGAUUCUUCAUUCUUUGAGAUUUAAAAUUAUAAAGUUGAAGGUUUCAUUUUGGUGUCAAAUCAUGAAGUUAUCUUCCAGUUGCUUGUCUAUUCAAGUCUUGGUUGCCUUAGAAUUUCUCUUCCGCCAUGUUUAGACCCAUGGAUGUAUUGAACAAGGAAUUUCUUUAUAGUGUUGUUCAGUGCGACGAGGCUUGUAUGCUUGUUCGAUUUGUGCAUGAUGUGCAUGAUGAUUAAUAACGACAUAGAUAAUUUGACAAAUAUGUGCAUCAUAAGCCAAAAUCCUAAUGCAAAUUUUAAUUGAUUAGCUCUUUUUAACGAAAAUGGGGUUAUAGUGGUUUUUGCAUUUGCCAGACUUUGGUACAUGUUGGUCAUAAGUUAUACAUAACUCAGUUGAUGAACUUUAGUUUCUUUCUGAUUUAUCAUUAAAGUUAAUCCUAAUCAUGCAUAGGUAUUACAUUUGUUGUUUAAGAUUAUAUUAUAAUCUCGCUUCGUGAUUUCUCAUGUGCAGGACCUGCAAGAUGUUACCGUCAGAUCAAGAACAAGCCUUAUCCUAAGUCACGGUAUUGCCGUGGUGUUCCAGAUCCUAAGAUUAGGAUCUAUGAUGUCGGGAUGAAGAAGAAGGGAGUUGAUGAGUUCCCCUUCUGUGUUCAUCUGGUGAGUUGGGAAAAGGAGAAUGUGUCAAGUGAGGCUCUUGAGGCUGCCCGUAUUGCAUGCAACAAGUAUAUGUCCAAGUUUGCUGGGAAGGAUGCUUUCCAUCUAAGAGUGAGAGUGCAUCCUUUCCAUGUCUUGCGUAUCAACAAGAUGCUUUCAUGUGCUGGAGCUGAUAGGCUCCAGACUGGGAUGAGGGGUGCCUUUGGGAAGCCUCAGGGGACAUGUGCUAGGGUGAUGAUUGGUCAGGUCCUUCUGUCUGUCCGUUGCAAGGAUAGCAAUGGUAACCAUGCACAAGAAGCCCUACGCCGCGCCAAAUUCAAGUUCCCUGGCCGUCAAAAGAUCAUUAUUAGCCGAAAGUGGUAUGUAUCAAAAAGGAAAAGAUUGAUAAUAAAAUAGUGCUUGAGAUAUGGAUAAGAAUUUAUUGGUGUUGCUAAACUUGGUUUCUGCUUAGUUGUGUUUGCUUCCACAUCUGGGGCAUGCAAUGCAGUGAGAGAAAACAUGGAUGGCUGACUUGUGAUGAGAGUUUUAUAAUAUGCGUCUUGAUAUAUUUGUUUUCACUAUUUUCUAGUAAGCUUUUUUCCAUUCUUCUCUUCAAAGGGAGAAAGAACUGAACCAAGAGUGUUGUGUUUAUAGAAUUAUUGGAGUAUCCAUAAAAAGUAAUUUACUUCAUAACAUUUAGGAUAUGCAUAGUUUUCUGUUUCAAGUUCUAACUAAUGUUAAAAGCUAUGUGGUUUUGGCUAUGGGGAACGGUGCUAGAUUAUGCUUUCUUAAAUUUGUGAUUUGUGUUCAUGAAUAUUCACAUUGUGAACUUAUUUUUCAGGGGCUUCACAAAAUUUAACCGCACUGAUUAUCUGAAGUGGAAAAGUGAGAACAGAAUCAUCCCAGAUGGCGUCAAUGCUAAGGUAUGUUUGUGGAUACAAGGUUUUAAUCUCUGCACCAAAAAGCAUGGACAUGUAUCAUUUCACUAUCCCUUAAAUUUACACGGCAACCUGUGAAUUUCUUCUCCCCUAUACACCCCAUGAUUCAAUGGAAUUGGGGAUGCCCAAAGUUGAAAUGCUAUCACAUUUGUUCUGCUGUAGGCACUUGUUAGACACAAGCUACCUUUUUCCUUUGAGAUAACGCUCUAGGGCAGCUGCUGUUUUUGUGUGGCAUUAGUCUUGGCAGGCUCGCUUUGUCUUCUUCGACCUGCUACUCCACUUUCUGCCAGUCAUGUUUAUUGAAAUAUCCUUGCAUUUUGAUUGGCAUUACGAGGGCUAGUUCAUAUCACCUUUGUUUUGAUUGGAGUUCAUUCAAUAGCUGUCUCACAUUGUCAAUCCGCUAGGGAAACUUUAGUUGGAUGGUAGCAAAUAAAUGGAGUAGAACUUGUGUUUUAGAAAUUUCCUGUCAUUUUAGUCUAUUUACAGCGUGCAAGAUGACCAACUCUAUUGUGAACGUCUCUUUGGUGGUUCAGUUACUUGGAUGCCACGGGCGGCUUGCUGGGCGCCAACCUGGACAGGCAUUCCUUUCAGCUGCCAUUGCCGAAGCUUCUUAGGAUAUUUCAGUUGGAGAACAAGCACAAGACUAUUGAUCCAUCAUUUUUGUUUCAAUGUCCUAGAUCAUGUUGGAGUUUACUUACCUAUUGAUUUUGUUACCUUUUGCAGCAUAUGACUGCUAGUUUUACUUCUUAUGGAUAUUUGUUUUGUUCUGUGCUUGGACAACUGGGAUAUGACAAUUUAGCUUUUGAAGUUCCUGCUUAUAUGGAUGAUGUGUUGCAAAAUGAGUGUUGCUCCUUUAUUCCCGCUCUUAUUCUCUAACUGCAGGGAUUGCUAGGAAACAUUUGUGUGGCAUUCAUGUUUGUUAAGCUGAAGGAAAUUGGUGUCAAGAUUUGGUGUUUCAUCUGUUUGUUUAGGUGAUUUGACAUAAGUCUGUACGGCUGUACCUAAAACAAGUCUUCCGGGCGGUGAGGGUCCAUUAUCUGUUUCAUGAAUCGUGGGCAUGCGUUUGGUAGCUUGUGUAGUCGCUGUAGCUGUAACUAAUCACUUUUUUGAAGUUCUGGUCAAUGAAAAUUUGCUCUUUUUCUGGCGAGCAAUGAAAAUUUGCUCUUUGGAACAGUGGAUGACUUCUUUUUCAUCAUUUCUGUCUUAACUUGCAAGCCUAUAUAAAAUUCAUUUUAAUGGUAUUGUCCAUGGAAAACUGGCAUCUGUGAGCCAUACUGUGAGCAAAUGUUUUUAAAUAAAAAGAUAUGGUAUUUGAGAAAAUAGAUGUACGUAUGAGAAUUGAUGUGCUACAAACAUGGCUAACAGGGCUGUGUUUUUUGAACUCGUCCUCUCUAGGUAUUUAAUAGAUUCCAAAUUGUCCUCUCUAAUUAUUUGAUAGAUUCCGUUUUUUUAAUCACUUGUUUCUAGGAUAAUGUUAUCCCUUCCCUCAAACACAUGGAAGUCAUAUUUGUGAAGGCUGCGCUUGUAGCUACCUCCACCAAGUAAUAGCCUCACGAUUAUGUCCUUGUGACCAUAUGCCACGUUGAAGGGGCCGCAUUUAUCUUCAGAAGAAGUCCGCAUUUCCACUGCGUUUGGGUUUUUGGGGUACUGUUUUGUUUUUCAAAUCUUUUUUUACCAAAACAAAAGUAAACGUGGGGUAAAUAUCAAUCCAGUCAGCACGUCAAUUUUUAUUUUUAAAUUCCGGAAACAUGGAGUCCUUACAAUCCAAGAGCCGCUUAAAGAUCCUUGUCGGAAAACAAACGGGGUUCGCCUUCCAAAAUCCUGGAAAACCACCGUCUCUCCACCCCAUGAUUUUUAAGGUCCGAUAUGUCAUUCCUCGGGAUAUUUCAUCUCAGGAGAUAGUCACGAAAUUUUGGAAGGGCCGGGAUAUAUUUCAUCUCAGCAAACUAACCGGUUUAUGUUUCAGUGUCUGUAAUCCAAUCACCCCCUAAUUCGGAUUCUCCCUUGAUUCAUUUCUUCUUCUCUUUUUUUAUAAGAAUUUGUUCGUUGUUGAUGUUGAGAUUCUUACGUUUGAUCCUUACUCUUCGACAUUUCCAUCACUUUUUUCUUUUAUUUAUAUGUCAAAGUUAACAUAGAGAGCAAUGUGAAGGCCCAUAUCUUAUACAAUUAAAUUUUAUAUAUUUAUCAUCUUUAUCUAAAAUUUUAGAAUUAAUUAAGUAAGCAACAAUAUUCACCUAACCUUCUCUAAUAAUGUAUAAUUUAGGAUUUCUACUUAAAACAUAAUUUUUUGAACUUUUCUCGUAGAAAAUGAUGAUUAUUAAUAUCAUCUCUUAAAAGAAUAUAAAAAUAUUGUAGUUAUCUAAAGAUCUAUACUUUAUCUUUUUUUUAUAGAAUUUUUUUGAUAAAAUUUUAAAAUCUUUUGUCAACUAACUCCCUAGAUAGUUUUAGCCAUACUAAUGAUCGUUAGAUUAUUUGUUCAUAAGCUAAUUAAUUAAAUCGAGACAAUAAAAAAAUCUAUUAUAUUAACAUUAUCUUAAUAUUAUCUAGUUUUUCUAUUUAUUAAAAAAUUUCAGAAUAAAUUUUUUGUCUUUCCACUAACCAUUGCUAGCUCUCUAUCCACUUUUUCCUCUCUUUUUUCACCAAAAAAAAAAGAAUUCAAAUAGAAAUUUUAAUAAAAAACUUGGGCUUUAAAUUAGUGGCUUGAGUUUAGAUUUUAGUUUUACUGCAUGUCAACUUGCUAAUCUUUUUAUUCUUGUUUAUUUAAAUAUCUCAAUUAGAAAGUCUGUUCCAACUCAGACGACACCUCAAAUUGUACCUAUAUCAAUAUCGAGUAACUUUAUGAAUCAUGCUACUUUGCACCCUCAUCAGCCAAUUGUAUAAAUAUUUUGUUUUCUCAUGUAUUUUAGGAAAAAAAACAGUUUACAUAUUUGGGAUGGAGAGGGGAGAUUCUAUGUAUAGCGCAUGGAUGAGUUGCCGAUACGUAUAACGUAUACCGAUACGUAUAAUAUAAGACGAGAUCUCGGAUGACGCGUGGGAAAAACCACUUUCCCGAAUCCAAGCAUCGUCUCUGGCUUUCACUGCUCGCUGUUUCCGCCAGAACCGCGUGCCGCCGUAAGUAGUAUAUUGUUUUAUAAAAACUACCAAUUAAAGAUUAGGGUUUAUUCCCAUCGAAUAUUUCUUCUCCUUCCCAUGUACGUUAAGUCGCCUCCUGGAGCGUAGCUUCCUCGCUGUCUGAUUUCCUUUUCGGACGUUUGGCGGGGAUUGCCUCGGUGGUUCUGUCUGCAGCCCAAUUGCGCCGCAAUGGGUUGGAUUUUCUUGCAUUUUUCUGGGAAUUCUGGAGUUCCAAUUUGAGGUGAUUUGCGAGAUUAGGGUUCUGGUAAUGAAAUUUAUCUUUGCUUCAGGGUUAGCUGAUUUUCUGAUACAAUGUGUUAGUGGAUUAAAAAGUAGGGUUUUCGAUAGAUCUUUCUUUGGGCACAGAGAGAAAUUAAGCCUUUUUGUCUUUUCUUUUGUAUCUGAAUGCGGGAUUCGUUUGCAUCCGUUUGGAUGCUAGAAUUUGAUCGGAGAGGGCAUCUUCAGAAUGAUAUAGAUGGAAAAGAUCGGAUUUUGAUAUAUAUUUCUUCCAAACAUGUACAUUUUAAUUAAUGUAUCACGCGUUCAACAAACCCUCAUUUGCAGUUGUUGUUAAACUACCAACUGCUGGAGUUCUAUCAAUUUAAAUUUAUAUACCUUACAAAUUGUUGUAUCGUAAUGCUUUCUUGGAUUGAAACUUUGGUAUUUUGCAACUUAAUUUAGCAGCUGGAACUAAUUUGAGGAGUUCCCUGGUUGGCAACGUCUGUUCUUCAUUAUAAUAGCCAUUUAUCUUCUGUAUAUAUUUGUCAUUUGAUACUAUGAUAUUCUAAAUUUUUUGUUCAUUUGAUUUUGAAAUUUAUGGUAUUUCAAAAGGCCUGCGGAAGUUUAAUUUGAUCACUGUUUAUUUGAUUGUGCGGUGUUCAUUCAUCUGAGAAUCCGAGAUGUUAUACUUGAUUUGACACUUCAAUAUCUUAUCGGAUGUGGUUAUCCUUUCAAAAAAAGGGAUCAGUUGCAUCCAUUCUGCCAAUUAUUUUGAAAUAUCUGAUUUUGCUUAUAUCAUUGUAAAAUCUGCAGUUAAUGUGGGGAAAUAUUGAAAUCAGAGGGAGAACUUGCUGAUGCCAGGACAAUUUUCAUUUGAACUGCAGUCAAGAUGAACACUUCUUAAUGAUUCAUAUACAGUACAGUGCAUCCCUAAAGGUUAUUUGCUAAACAAUUUGCUUGUUGAUUCUGAGUUUCUUUCUCUUGAGCAUUAUAUGAAACUGAGAUUAGAAUACAAAAGAUGAGCAUGCUCAGUUUUGCAGUUAUAUAUGCACUUAGAUCUAAUCUGUUUCAGGCAAAAGCAGGAUCCAUGCAUAGAUGUUGAAGAUUAUUUGAAUAGAUGGCCUCAAAAUUGAGAACCCUUCUACUAUUUUUGCUUAUAUUUGUUUCACUGCAUGGUUCUACUAUUGCAAAGUCUGAGAAGGAAAUCAUUCAGAGGUCUCAGACAGCUCCAAAUAGGAUCUUAGAAAGUGCACUUAUAGAUGUGACUGGUACAGAGUCUCGAUUUGAGAGCUCCAAAAGUAUUUUUCAAGGGUUUGGUGAGACGGUUGUUAAUAGCAGAGUUUCAGUGUCCACAGUUGCAUGGCUUACUCUUGCCAUGGCUGCAGCAACAGCCUUGGGCGCAAUUCCAUUUUUCUUCGUGGAGUUAGAGCCACAAUGGGCAGGUAUAUGCAAUGGUUUGGCUGCUGGAGUGAUGUUGGCUGCAAGCUUUGACCUAGUGCAGGAAGGACAGGUCUAUGGCAGCGGAAACUGGGUUGUUAUUGGGAUUUUGAGUGGAGCGAUUUUUAUUUGGCUUUGUAAGAAGGUAUUCGAUCUUCUGCUUUCCUCCAUUUUUUUCUUUCUUGCAAUAAUAAAUGAUAUUCCAUAGUGUUCUUCAUGUCAACAAAUGUAAACAUAGGAUUAAGUUUAUUGUUUUACCUUCUCUCUCUCUGUCCGGCUCGCUCUCUUCUCAUAGCUUCUUCAUUGGGCUCUUUUAUUGUUUUUAAUCGGUUUGACUUCUGUGCAUUUAACUCUCAUAAUUCUGUUUUAUCUUUUCUAAUAUAUUUUCUUGUAUUUUACCUAAUUUGAUCACCAUCUCUAUGUCCUUUUGUCUUAUCUUAGUUGAUUCAUAAGUUUGCCACCAAUGUUAAUCAACCCAUAUCAUCAUAAGCUGCAUAAAUAGCUUAGUCAGUCUUUCUAGCUUCCUUGAUUAUUUCAAGUAUAUUUUAAGUACUUAUGUUUUUGGCUAAAAAAAUAUCCUCCUGCAUUUUGUAUGGAAUUGCAAAUACUCUCCUUCAUUUUAAAUUGUUGCAAUGUCAAUCUUAUAUUUUGCACGUUGCUGCAAUGUGGUCCACCCUUCUCCUAAUUCGGAUCAGGGCUUGCGAAAGGUGCCUACUUGUUAGAUGACAUGGAGGUAGUUAUGUGAUGUAGAUUUUUUUUUAAAAAAAGGAGAUGGAAUGUAGCGUGGAUAAACCUCUCCUCCCUUCUUCCCCAAAAUCUAGGGUUUCAGAAACCCUAGUUCGUGGGGGAGGGAGCCAUGUCUUGCCGAAAGCGGCCCAUCGACGAAUCUAAGAGGUUUAGAGUUUCGGGAGGGUCCAGGGACUCAUUAUUCUAUGUUCACUCCUUCAAAAUUGAUGCCCUCUCCCUCAGCUCCGAAUCUAAGAGUUGUGACAUCUCUAGCUCCAACCCAUUGAUCAAAGUAAUGGUCUUCGAGUAUCAUUGCCUUGCAGUCUCACCAUUAUCAGUCCCCUUGAAGUGCCCACCUAGUAGGCCACCUAAAGAAGCCUUGAUAGCACAAGUCGCUGCCUUCUCGCAUGAUCACGAGCGGCGGUUCUCGCGAUAUCUCACUCGCACAUCUCGGAUUGGACAUGACUCAAUGACUUCAUCCACAUUCAGACUAAGACUAGUUGUUGUCCUAGAUUUCGAGCAAAAAUUUCUCUGAGAGGAGAAUUUUAUGGGAGACCAGGGGAGUGGUCUCGGCUGUGGGAAUGGGAAGUGGUGAUGAGUUUUUUAUCAAAAUUGGAGAGGAGAGAUGUUUGGAUACAAUCUAAGUUAGAGUUUGGGAGCUUUAGAGGAUCAAAUUGCAAAGAAUUAUUGGAGUAGAAGGGAUCAAAAAUUUGAUUUUUGAGUGGUUUAUUCAGUUAUACUUUUUCUCACAACAACGAGUUGUACUGAGAGGGCAUCCCUCAAGGCGGCCCUCUGCAACGAGAGGAGAAGAUGGAGUUGAAAGUUGUGAAGGAGAGGAGGCACUCAGAAGAAGUUUCUUGAACAAUAUGGGGAAGUAAGCAUGUUGGACAUAAAAGGUGCUGAUGCAAGUAAAGUUAUACUUGUUGUUGGAAUAAUGACCUUCAUUCUUUUGGGGAGGGUUCGGGGUUGGGGUAUCCUUUGCUGGCUCAAAGGGCUUUCUCAAGGUCUUCUGGUUACCUGGCAAUAGCUGCACAAAUACCUGAAGGCUUAGCUGUAAGCAUGGUUCUAGCAUCUCGAGGGGUCUCUCCUCAGAAUGCGAUGUUGUGGAGUUUCAUUACAUCAUUGCCCCCCCCUAACCACCACCAAAACCCCUACUUGUUCUUCAUCCACUCGUUUUAACAGUAAGCUUUUUUCCUGUAAGAUUGUGUUUUCCAUCAAACUGAAAUUGUGUUAACAUUAUGAAAGCCAGAACCUGAAAAGCCGAGGCUCUUGCACUAUCAUUUCAUAUAUUUUUAAUAAUGACCAAGUAAUUUUAACCUUCAUGCAUUGCCCUUUGGCUCGGGUCAUGGUAUCAAUAGCCCUGUUAUUCAUGAAGUGACCAUUCCCCCAAGAUGUUAUGGACAUAUAUAACAGUUAGAAAGGAUUGCCAUGAUGUUUAUGAAAAUGUAUAACAGGUGAUGCCACCUGAAGCUGGGACCUCUCCCUUGGAGGAACCAUGGAGAGGGACGCCAAACAGCUGAGAUAUGUCCUGUUACAAAACAUCUGCAAUAUCAAAUAAUAGCCACUAUUGACAGUUAGUGCAGUCAUAGCACAUAGAUUAUGGUUGUUAGUAAUAUGGUCGUGCCAACACAAAAGUGCCUCAAAACCAUGAUGAAGUUCAUUAUUUAAAACCAUGAUACAGGGUCAGCUUAACAAUUGCUUCCUUGCUAUUCAUUUUAAACAUGACCAUGCGCUGGUCUUGGGUUGGUGAGUUCACUUCUUUCCAUGACUAAUAAUACAAUUAAACAUUAAUUUGGAAAAUCUAUUUUGCUCCGUUGCUUCUAACAUAUAUCUCUGCAUUUUUUUUUCUAGAUUCCUAUCCUUGAUCCUUUGAUUGAUGAGAUUGUGUCUAUAAAGAACCAAGUUCAAUCAGUUAUGACUAUGUUUUGUUAAUCAUAAGUCAGAUCCUAAGCCAAAUUAAAGUUAAAAUUAGAUUUGUGAAUAUUUAACAGUUUCAUUGCUGUAUAAUAACAACCCCUUGCCCUUCAAAUUUUUGUAUAAUUUGUAUCACAAUUGACAAUAUAAACGAAAUAGCAGGGAGCCCCCCCUCCUCCUCUCAAUUCCGGUGAUGCUUCUUCAUACCCUGGUUGCCCCUCUCUUCCGAAUUCAUAUAUGGGUUUGUUGCUUUGUGAUUGCAUUGCCAGCUUUAAUUGCCCUUGAGGAAACUGGAUUGAGUGGUUAUGCAUGUCAAUCACUUUUUAUCUUCUCAAAUUUGAUUUUUCCAAUUUUAUUUCCUUCCAUUUGAGUGGUUAUACACCUUCAUUCCCCCUCUAUUUGCGAUUUUUCAUACAGAAUGUUGCCCACUGCUCUGGUUCAUAAUAUUGUUGAAAAUAACAUAUGCUUGUGUGCUUCUAAGAGAAGAAACUCCUGUAAUUGUGGACUUGGCCUCUUACUCUUUUAUUUCUGCUCAGAAGCUGCAUAAAAUGUUGUGUCAUGAAACUCGAGUUUGAGAAUAGUUUUGCUGCUUGGGACCACCUAACUAGGUGCCUAACGAGUAAAAAUGUUGCUCAUGUUGAUUAGAAUUCUAUCCUUUGUCUUUGUUGUCACAAGGCCUCUGUCACCUGCCUAUUUUUCCGCUGUCAAUAUGUACAUUUCUUAGUGCUUUGCUAUCAGCAUGACAUGCACAAGAAGCUCUAUCAACACAUAAUGAAGGCCUCCAAUUCCUAAUCAUUCUUAUAAAUGAUAAUUUAUUUAUUAUUUUUCAAUUUUUUUGAACUAAUUUGUAUAUUUUCCCUAAAUCUAGGAUCAUAUGGUUUAUUGUUUUCAGUUUGAGUGAUACAUAUAUCUGAAAAUGCGUUUAAUACAAAGACUUGCAUUUUUCAUCUAUUUCGGUUCCCAAUGGAAUAGAAAAACAUUUAAAGUUGGUGGAUAUGUGAUGACAUGUUGGAAAUUUCUCUGAUGGUUUUUUUCUGUGCUUUUCACAAUAUUCUUACUAAUAGCCAUUUGUCUCUCUUGAUUGUAGCCCAUUGUAGCUGUGCCUUCGUUCCUCUGUGCUGAUGCAUUCCACAAGGUACUUCCUUUUUGUACGGGCUUUGCUGCUGGAUGCAUGAUCUGGAUGGUGAUUGCAGAGGUUCUUCCUGACGCUUUUAAGGUAAUUAACUGAUCAGUCUACUUAUCAUUAUGCCCUAUGUAUAGAAGCAAAUAUAUGCCCAUGCCAAAAUUUUUGCAGAGUUUCAGGAACACCUGCAUUUUGUGAUCAUUGAAAGCUGUUGUGUGCUCUCACCAGAGGAAAAGCAAAUUGCUAAAUGCUACUUAUCUUGCUAUGAUUUACUCGCGUGUUAUCCUUCUUUUCUACCUUUGAGCUAAAUGGGUGAUGAUACUUUUCUCUUUUUUCCAGGAAGCAACUCCUUCUCAAGUUGCUUCUGCAGGCACGCUGGCUGUAGCAUUCAUGGAAACCUUAGGCACAGUCCUCCAAAGUCUUAGCCAUGGCUACAAGUAAGCGUCUGCUGUUCGUCUAUCCGCAAUUUUUAUUUUUAGUAAAUCCAACAUCUAGACUUGAUAUCUUGUCCUUCUCUGCUAUAUGUGAAUGUAUUUUUGCAAGAGCCUCUGGUAAGCUCUAACCAAAAUCUGUUUGAUUUGUGUCGCAGCUCGGAGGAUGCCUCUGGCUUCUUAGUUUCUCUGCUAUUUGGUCUUGGGCCAUUGCUUGGUGGAAUGAUACUUGUUGUUUUUUCUCUUGCCUUCUAUCUCCAACAUUCUCUUCUCACUGGUGUAGCCUCCGGCAUUGCAUUUCUUCUUGCUGCAUGGAGGCCUCUACAGCUUCUUUUGUCUUGGAAGAUGGGGUUCUUUACCCUGACAUUGUUGCUUAUUGCUGGCUCAGCUUUAUCUCACAUGUCCACAGCUAGCAUCUUAAGGGUGGGUCGUCGCAAGGUGUCUGCCAAUGACCUUGCAUCUUCUUGUGGCCUUUCUGUGAGUCCCCUUACUCUUCAGUCAUUCGUGGCAUGCGGGGCCAUCUCCCUUCAUGCCCUGGCAGAGGGGCUUGCUCUAGGUGUGGCAGCCCCGAAGGCUUACGGGCUCGGCCGGCACAUGGUUCUGCCAGUUUCACUACAUGGGCUGCCACGAGGUGCUGCUGUUGCAAGUUGCAUCUUCGGCGCCACUGACAGCUGGCGGGGAGCCUUGGCCGCUGCUGCCUUGACUGGAUUUGCAGGCCCCAUGUCUGCCAUUGGAGCUAUACUCGCUGGUAUUGACUACAGUGGACUUGAUUAUUGGAUGGUCCUUGCAUGUGGCACACUGCUCCCUAGCUUUGGCAGUGUUUUCCAGCGAGCGCUGAAGUUGGAUGCAAGGAAGAGCAUCUACGGGCUCUUGAUGGGGCUCGGAUUUGCCUGCGUGUGUUUAACAUCCACCAGGUUGGUUUGCCUGCACACACCUUACUGCAAUUCAGCACCAGAGGCUGUCACUUAAGUUGCCGACUGAAUUCUUAAUUUGUUCUUGUAUCGUGAGCGCACUUGUGCACAGAUCUUUAUAAGCCACCUGGUUGCCUUGGAAAUCUAUCAGGCUGAAGGGUGAAACCCAGAUGCUUAGAGAGGCUGAAAAUAUUAGGAAGAGAGAGUUAUCAUUAGGUUGAUCAUAAGGGAAAAUAGAAUAGUUAAUAGUGGACAUGAAUUUCUAUACGGUUGGUUUCUGGAAUGAAAAUUUAGGAUGGAUGUUGGAGGAGUGAUGCAUAUACUUGGGCUUUCAUAAUGAUAAUGAUGGGACAUUGAACAUAAAACAAGUUUUCGGUCCUUUUAUCUUCAGUAAAUUCAAUUGAAUGUAAAGAGUGAAUUUCUCUUAUUUGGUGGAAAAUCGCAUUUUGCUGUGCGUAUUGCUGCUUGUGUGUCAGGUGAGUUAUUAUCUGGGUCUGACGACUACAUCUUCUGUUUGGCUGCAGAAUGGCGUACCACAAAACAAUGAGUUAGAAUGGAGUAAACUACCCUUAAACUUUUAAAAUUUUCAUAGGUACCCUGAAGCCAGAGAGGGCUGCAGAUGUAUACUUGAUGGAAUGCGUAUGGUUUAAUAUAAACUAAGCUAUCUCUGUUUGCCCUGCAUAUAAAGUUUAUAUACGAAGGAAAUAAAGCUACACUAGGUCCUAUAAAUCUCAUAUUGUCUUGGUUUCAACAUCCUUUGGUUCCUGAGAACAUUCAUUUUUCAACUUCAAUUGUAUGGACGGAGCAACAAACUUGUUCUGUCACUUAUGCAACGUGAAACAUCGGCCUCCUGACCUAAACUUUCAGGGCUCUCAAACAGGGAAAUUUAUGGUUUUUUUGGAGGAAAGCUGAGAAAGCUAUAUCAUGCUAAUUGCACGGAGCUAUCCUGGUAAAAUGAAAUGAAAGAAGAAAUGAAAUUGGGGAUCAAGAAACUUGGACAAACGUGUGGUAUUUUUCUUACCACGUAAGAUCAUUUUUAGGGCACUUUGCAUCACAUGCAUCUUAUGAUUCUUUUUUUAUUUUAUUUCAACAUGGUUGUAUGUCACAUUUUAUCGGCAUUCAGCCAUUGCAUCCAUACAAUCCUUGUACAUUAAGGUGCCGUUCAGUGAUCCAGAUGAGAUUACUAAGAUAAUUUUAGAUCAAUGAUGACUCUUAUCCUGCUGUAGUCCGAUCUUCGAUAAUUUAAGAACACUACAUUUGGCAUGGUAUGUUUCAGUAAUUAAAGGUCUUUCGGUAUUCAUAAGUAACUUGUUUGGAUAUCCAUAUAAUACCAAAACUAUUCCUAAUAUCUUUCAUAAAAAUAUAUUUAUUAAUUCUAUAAAUUAUUAAUACUAUUAAAAUAGAUUAAUUCUUAUUAUAUAAUUAAUAUUUUUAUUUGUACUUAUCAUAUAUUAUCAUUUUAAUACUAGUAUUUAUUGUGAUUAGAAAAAUAAGAUAAAUAGAAGUAUUAUAUUAAGUAAUUUUAUAAUAUAAAUAUAAAGUGCAAUAAUAUAUUUCUAUUAUAAUUAUUAAACUUAAUUGAAUAAUAUGACAAUAAUAUGGUUAAUGAUAUAUUAUAAUACAAUAUAUAUCGUAAAUACUAUAUAAAUAAUACCAAUCUUGUACAAUAUAUAAUUAUAAUAUAUAUUUUUCAUUAAAUUUGGAGCAUUCUUAUUCUCAAAUUUCAAGCCAAGAUCGUUGCCUUGAGGUAAUCUUGAAUAGCAGUCCUCAAGAAUAAAUUUGGCAUUACCAUUUACUAUGUUGGACCGGAUUUAGGAUUACUACUAUAUAGAAUUACCAGAUGUAAAAUAUAAUAAUCUAGUUAUUUUCACCUGCAUCAUCUUUGAUCUUGGGUCAUCAUCUAAUACUAACCGCUGGGCAAAAGCUGCAAGUCCUCUAUUUGCGCCCACUGUGAGUUUACUGGUCGGCAGUCUCGGUGUCCAUUUGGUGUAGAGUGCGUUGCUGCAGAGCGGCUUACGAUUCUUUCUCAAACGUAACAUGGGAGGCGUCCAGUUAUAUUACUUUUAUUUUCACCAAGAGUAUCAAAUAAAAAAUAACUUUGCUCUCCAGAAAUGCCUUUAAUUUCCAUAACUACAUGAAACUAGGUUUAACCAGUUUGAUUUAUAAAUUUUAAUUCGCCAAUCAUUCUUAGAGAAAACACGCUUCAACAUUUUCCUUAGAAAAAAGAUGUAACAACACAGGAUCUCACCCAAAAUGGCUAGCCGGAAGAUAUUGUUUGGGUUCUUUGAUUCUGUAUAANNNNNNNNNNNNNNNNNNNNNNNNNNNNNNNNNNNNNNNNNNNNNNNNNNNNNNNNNNNNNNNNNNNNNNNNNNNNNNNNNNNNNNNNNNNNNNNNNNNNNNNNNNNNNNNNNNNNNNNNNNNNNNNNNNNNNNNNNNNNNNNNNNNNNNNNNNNNNNNNNNNNNNNNNNNNNNNNNNNNNNNNNNNNNNNNNNNNNNNNNNNNNNNNNNNNNNNNNNNNNNNNNNNNNNNNNNNNNNNNNNNNNNNNNNNNNNNNNNNNNNNNNNNNNNNNNNNNNNNNNNNNNNNNNNNNAAAUGGCUAGCUGGAAAGUAUUAUUUGGGUUCAUUAAUCCUGUAUAAGUACCCAAUAUCUACCCAGUGAAUAAUCGAUUUGGGACUAAACACACGCCUGCACAGGUUCUCACAUACUCCCUCCGUUCAAGCCCCAACAUCCUCGUCAGGUUAAUUCAUAUCUAAUCACAAACACUACGAUUGGUCCGUAGUCAGCCCCGAUGAAUCCGUGCUGCAGUGUUCCCUAGUCCACAUAGGUUAUGGGCCGGGUCCGCUCUGAUGUCAUUUGUAACAAUCCAGAAUCUCACCUAAAAUGGCUAGCCGAAAGGUAUUAUUUGGGUUUCUUGAUUCUGUAUAAGUAUUCAAGAUCUAUCCAGCGAAUAAUCAAUGUGGGACUAAAUACAUAUCUGCACGGGUUCUCACAAAAGGAAUAUGUAAUCUUAACAUUAUCUGCUCUAUGUUUUUAUCCAUUCAAACUUUUGCAGGUGUCGGUAUUCGCAAGCCGAUUCGGCGUCACAUGCACGCGUCAUAGCAGGAAGCCUGCACGUGUCUUCCAACACCCCAAACCUCUUGCAAGCUCAGGAUAAACGGCGAAGAUGACGUAUAGGCUCGUUUGAUUUGUAAAAAAUAUUUUUGUUUAGAAAUAUAAUUUUUUAAAAAAUAUUUGCAAAAGCAUUUUUGGCAUGGUUGAGAUUUGACAAUAAAGAAGCGGUGAAUUUUUAAGGUGCUGGUGGGCCAUUUAUUUUUUUCGAACUAAUAAAAGAAAAAACAAACAAACAAAAAAGAGAGAAGACGAUAUAUAGCGAGCGAAAGCGGAGGUUUCACGCCACCGGAAAAACAGGCUAGGGUUCCCAAUUCGACCUCUCCGUUACUUUUUAGCUGCGAGCGAGCGAGCGAGCGAGAGAUGAAGAUUUAUCACAUCCCUUGCUUGGAGGACAACUAUGCCUACCUGUAAUAGUUUUAUCCCUGCCAAUCACUUCUCCUUUAUCCUUCUCUAAACCCUAAUUAAACCCUUGUUCUUCUGUCUCUGUCGUUCUCUGCUUUUAACUAGACUAGAUUUCGUAAAGCUGACUCCUUCUAUCUCGCCGAAAUGGCAGAAUCGUGGACGAGAGCACGAAGGAAGCGGCCGCCGUCGAUCCCGUGGAGCCCAAGAAGAUCAUCAAGUGCGCCAAGGAGAUCGGCGCCGAUCUCAAGCUCGUCCUCACCACUCAUCAUCACUGGUUUUCCUUCUUCUCGCCCGAUACGUUUUUAAACUUCGAAUUUGGUUUUUCUUUCAGUUGGAGAAAACCUUGAAAUAAAUUACUUGAAUUGCUUGUUGGAAAUGAUUCUGAAUCUGCCUUUUAACAAACAAGUCGAGUUGAUUAGACUAAUCUUUAUUUUUCUUGGCGAAAAGAUUGGAUCUUUGGGCCUUCGUCGUUUCUGGAAAUGAUUUAAAUUUGGGAUUUUAUAUGUUUCCUGUGAUGCUGAGUGUGCUUCUGAUAACAAAAGGUUGGUUUCUUCUUACUGCGAGUUGGUUUUAUCUGGGAUAGGGAUCAUUCCGGUGGAAAUGAGGAGAUUAAAAAGCUGGUGCCAGAGAUUAAGGUCUUUGGUGGGACAAUAGACAAUGUUAAAGGGUGCACAAAUAAGGUUGAGAAUGGGGACAAAUUUACUCUCGGGGCGGAUAUUAACAUACUGUCCCUCCACACGCCAUGGUAUGUCGUUGCCUUCUUGUGAUUAGUUAUUAUGCUGGACUCUUUGGCAAUUGGAUUUGUGGUGAUUAUUAUUUGGUUACUGUAGAUGGUGCACUUUCUUAUAAUGGUCUGGAAUGUUGUAACUUCUAAGGAAGAAUGUGAAUACUAGAAUUACUGAUUUAAUGCAUUGUUAUUAUGAUACACAACAUACCGGUCAAUAAAGUAUGCUUUGAUUUGAGCAAUAAACUGAUUCACAGUUUCUAUAAUUUUCUUUGCCAGUUGAAUAGAAUUCACAUAACACAUGAAGCAUUCUUAGGUUGAUUUGAUGUAAAUAUUGAAAAUGAGUUCUAUGAAAACAAAGUCAAUAUGGAGCUAGAUGUAGCUAUGGAGAUAGGCCUUCAUUUGGUUGCUGCAUCAGUAUCUGUGUAUAUAUUUGAUACUAGUAUGUUACAAAACAAAGCUGAUGGUUUAACUAAUCAAAAAUUCAUGAGAAAGACUGAAAUGACAAGAGGUUGGUCAGAACCUUUUCUUUUAUAACAUUAUGCAACAUGGUGGAGGAGUAGGGAGAAUGAUAGGCUAAACUUCGUUCUCCAGACCAUUAUGAGUCCCCCUCUCCUCUUUUUUUGUUUUUGUUGUUUUCACCGUUGCCGCUGCUACCUCCAUCGCCAUUGCUGCUGCUGCGGCCGCCUAUGUCAUAGCCACAACUACCACUGCAACUGCCGCCACCUUCAUCAUUGCGACAUCGCUGCCACUCCUGCUGACAUUACUGCUGUCGCCGCACCUCCAUCAUCAUCGCCACCAUUGCCAAAUGUAGGAAGAGAGGUUUGUUCUUGAGAAAUUUUUUUAUCUACAAAAAUAAAAAUGAUUCAUUGCAAAAAUCUUGCUUAUGCUCUUGAAAAUUUAAAAAUAAAAUCAAAACAUAAUUUGUCUUUUCUAAUUUUAGAAAUAGAAACCUCUGAUAAGGGUUAGAAGAGAGGUUGGUUCUCAAGAAAUGUUUUGUGUACAAAAAUAAAAAUGGUUCAUUCCAGCAAACAAAAAAAAAAAAAAAAAAAAAAAAAAAAAAAAAAAAAAAAAAAAAAAAAAAAAAAAAAAAAAAAAAAAAAAAAAAAAAAAUACUUAUGUUUUUGUAUUUUUUUUUAAAAAAAAGUAAAAGCAUAAUUUCUGUUUUCUUAUUUUAAAAAUAAGAAAGUGAAAUUUAUGCCACCCACAAACUAAAUUAUUUAUUACUCUAAUAACCAAAACUUAACCAAUAAAGCGUAUUACAAUUCUAAAACAUUCAUUAGAUUACAACUCCAUGUAUAUUUCAUGCAUGUUCAUUGGGCAUAUGAUUAUAGAAUUCAGAUCACCUUUUGUAUCCUGCUAUCAGAAGGAAAAGCAUUUUUCCCUUAUUUACUUUAUAUUAAUAGGUAAUCAUGAGUUUUUGAUACUUGUCGUAAGUUGAUAUGAGGAGAUGGCAAAGCUCGAAAAACUAUAAGAUAUUUAAGUUAUUCGUCUAAAUUAUCAACUUCUUAUUCUAGUAUCUUCUUUUUCCUUGCUUUAUCUGUAGUUCUGUACCCUGUGCGUUCUAGCACCUUUAUUAAAAAAAAUUAAGCCGAGGCUGUUGUUUUUCAGUGUAACAGUUGCUAUGUAUAGAUAAUUAUUGGGUUAAUGUUAUGCUUGUUUGCUUCCAUCAGCCACACUAAAGGACACAUAAGCUAUUAUGUGACCGGCAAAGAGGAGGAAGAUCCAGCUGUGUUUACUGGGGACACAUUGGUGAGCGGAGAUAUUUUUGCAGAUGCAUUUCAUAAUAGAGUGUUUUUAACAUUUUUACUGACUGAUUGUGGCAUUCUUUUUCAUUCUCUUUUUCUUCUGCAGUUUAUUGCUGGCUGUGGAAGGUUUUUUGAAGGUACUGCAGAUCAGAUGUACCAAUCAUUAUGUGUAACAUUGGCUUCAUUACCAAAGCCAACUCGAGUUUACUGUGGCCAUGAGGUAUAUCUUCUAAUUAUUUGAUGUUUGUUUGAUUACUAAUCAUGAAAAUGGGGCCACACUAUAAUUAGAACCGAUCCCAAAUAGCUAUGCUAAGGGCAGUUGGUUUUUUUUUCUUUUUCUUUUUCUGGGUUAUAAUUAAGAAAGAAGAGGUCAAGGUUUCUUGGUCUUUUGCAUAACGUUUAAACAUGUCAGGCUAGAAUGUUAUUUUCUUAAUUGUGCCUGUACCGCAUAAGAUCACCUUGCUUCUAGAAUCUACUUAAGAGAAUGUCAUUGUAAAAUUUUAUUUAUAAUGGACUACUCCAGAUUGUCAUUGCUCAUUUACCUCCAAUUGAUAGAUUCAAUUCUCUGUUUCAGUUGCAGCAAAUACUUUAAAAUCUUUUUAUUAGAUCUUAGAAAUAUUGGGGAUGAAUUAUUAACUUUGUUAAUAUGUUUAUUUAUCACAAUGUGAUACUUGUGUAGAAGCUUUGGCAUAUUUAUCCUAAUUGGUUGCUUCAACUGUGAUCUGAUUUCAGCAGGUUUUUCGAUCAUUUGCCUAUGAAUUACUUGCUUUUUCAUUUGCAUGAGAUAUACAUUAAUACUUGCGUGACAGUGACUUGUGAACAUGGUCUUGCAGCUGAUGAAUAUAGGUAAUGUAACAAUGGUAAAAAUAUCCCACUAAUCUUAGUAUGAGAUGAUUUAAUGAAAUGUAGAAAUGGAACAGUGGCCUUGUAUACAAUGGUAAACGGUUGUCACUUGUCAGUGUAUUAAAGUACAAGCUACAUUGCAAGAAGUUGUGGUGGAAUGCAAGCUAGAGCUCCAUUCCCUGAACAGCCAGCAUGCAAAUACCAUGCACUACACCCAUAAGCAUUUACUUGGUGCUAGAGAGAGCACGUCAUCGUGAUUAUUGGACUUGAUAGUAGGAGAGCACAUCAAUAUAUAAUCAGGAUAUCUAAAUUGAUUGUCAUAACUAAUGAGAAAUUUUGUCAUUUUAAGCUGUAAUUUACAUUUUUGUAUUCAUUUGUGAAUGUGCUGGGCAAAUGAUUGACAUGCCAUUUUUUUGCCAGUACACAGUAAACAACUUGCGGUUUGCAUUAACAGUUGAGCCAGAGAAUGAGAAGAUAAAGCAAAAGCUCUCAUGGGCCCAGCAUCAGCGUCAGGCAAACCUACCAACCAUUCCUUCAACCAUUGGGGAAGAGCUUGAGACAAACCCCUUCAUGCGUGUCGAUGUAGCAGAGAUACAGGUCUUAAGCAUUACAUUUAUGGUUUUCAAUUACACACUGUUACAAAAUAAAAUUUAGAUAUUGACCUCCAUUAUUAAUAUCUUAAUGCAUACGGUAUUGAAUGCCGCAAUCUAGAUGUGAUUUGGGAAUUGUAUGUAAAGAAGUUGGCCUAACUGUUGCUUCAGCCAUCUAAUAUCUUCGCUUCCAAGCCAACAAUCUUUGGAUUGACGUUGGCCUAUGAAUCACAUAGUAGAUACUGCAGAAUUCAGUGUUCCAACAAUAGUGACACCUGAUAUUGAAGGAGGCAUUUGAUGAAGUUGAACGGUAAAGUACACCGCAGAAGUUCAUGUGCUUUGUAGCAUGUAAAUUUGAAUUUUAAGUAUUUAGGUCAAUUUUCUUUGAAACCAAAGGGGUGGUAUGGCUUUUGGAGAUCUUUUAGAGUUCCCACCAUUUACAAGACUUUAUUCCUCCAGUUUUUCCAGACUUCUUGCCAACAAAUUGCCAUUGUAAAGUACAACCAGUUUUUAUAGGUCUUCAUUCUGCUUCAGAACCUGUUAUCCUAAUGGUUGAUUUUGCAAUGGCUUAUGCCAUUAGUUUCCUUCUUGGAGGUCAAGUUGCAUGCCGUUACUGAAAUCUACUGAAGAACAUAGCAAUUAAUCAUUCAGCUUCUCUUUUUUCCAAAUUCCUUGAUGACUCUGAAGAAAGAUUAACUCUGUCUAUGCUUUGCAGGCAAAAGUUGGCUGUCAUUCUCCAGUUGAAGCCAUAAAAGAAAUAAGGAGGCUGAAAGAUAAUUGGAGAGGCUGAUGAAAAUUUGGGGCUCCUGAGCUUUUUAAUUUAGUGUUUACACUUUGGCUUGGGCAAAAACAACAUGUAUUCUAAAUGAGUGUUCGUAUGUCUUCAUGUGGCAACCAGACUUGAAAGGCUCAGGUUGAAGUUUGAAGGCUGUUGCCAUCCUAAAUGGUCAUGUGAUAACUACCUCGUGUUUUGAUGAUCUGUAGGGAUACGGGUUGCCAGCUUUCAGGGGAUAUAAUGUGUCCAAACCUUGCUUUUCUAUAAUAAUCAGUUUAUAUCGUUCAUAUAUUAUCACAAAUUAUUCAUGUCCUAUUGGUGCUGUGCUAAUAAUUAUUCAUUAAAUGGCUAUCGAUUAACAAUUAAUAGUGGUAUUUAUUGAUUUGAGUCAUUCACUUAUCCAGUUAUCCAUCCUCGGUUUGCAUGGAAUUGGAAUAUGAAUAUUUUACAUCCUCUAUUGCCUUGUUAUGCUCUGAGUUGUGGACUAAAAAGCAGGGAGACAUAUUAAACAUUCAUGUUCUUUUUUAAUUAUGGAGAAAAUUUUUACAUUGGAUAUCCAGGGAGUGAGAAACGGACAAGUUGGUUUAUAUUUAGACCCACUCUCUCAUUGGUCAGGUUCUUGAGUAGUAGAUUUGUUGAGAUCCUUCCCUUAGAGGGUCAGGUUGGGUGUACAAGGCUUCUUUCAAUAAUCACAUAGGGGGCUAAGUAGGCUUGAAUUAAGUUCUCUUUUCUAGCAAUUCAACUUAAAUCUCUGCAGUUAUCAUCUUUAACCCUUGUCAUAAACUGGUGUUAAUGUCUACGUUUUUACUAAAUGCAGGCUCGUUUUCCAGCUUUAGCAAAAAGGAAUUCAGGCGAUCAAACUGCCUAGGUAAAGGAGAUAGAUUUUUUUUUUUUUUGCAGGUAACAAUGUCCCUAUAAAGUAUAAAGCAUUGGAUCAAGCAAUCUCCCAAGGAGGCCAAUCAUAGUUUCUCUAUCUUCAUAAUUAAUUGAUUACAAUGCAAGCUGCCAAAGCCUUCAUGUGUGCUAUUUGAGCUGUCUUUGUAACAAGAUACUGCUCCCUGUCCAUCGUUUUAUUGAUAUAUCCUUUCUUGCCUAGAUAGAAGCAUAGAUCAACUAUCAAUAUUUUUUUAUUAGAACACAUUAUAAAGAUUCCUCUAAUUUUAAAAAAAAAAUUACUUACAAUCUAUGACUUAACAUAACAUAAGUCAAAUUAUUGAUUUUAAAUAAAAAUUUGAAUAUCAUAUAAAAAAAUUAAAAUGACCAAAACAAUCUCGAGUGACAAUGAUUAUUCAAGAAUAUAAAAAAAAAUAUGUAUUUUCCUCUUUUUCUCAAAAGCAAUCCUAGUUUUUUAAGUGAGAUAAAUAGUCUUACUAAUGAUGUUAGUUAAAUUAGAUAUUAGCAUAGAUUUUAUGGAUUAAUAGAUACAUAAUAAAUAUAAAUUAAAAAAAUAUUAUUUAUUUAUUAAUUUAUUUAUGUAUUUAUUUUGUUGUGGAGCCUUCACUCAUAUCUGUAAACAAAAUCUUGCAGUCGCUUCGAGCAAACGCGAGGACACUAGAUAGGACGUGACUUUGGAUUUCGAAGGAAAUCUGUUCAAGAGCGCUUGAAGUGGCAUUUCCGCUAGCCCUUAUGGAACCACGGGGCACCAUAUAUAUAUUUUUUUUUUUUGCAACGGCGGCUCACAUCCUACGGAUAUGAAUACGGCCUACAAAAUCAGAAGCAAGUAAAUCUAAAAAAGACUCCGGCACAGUAUCGGGCUCCCGCACAAUAAAACCACCAGAAUGGUGAGCCACAUAGGAAGAGGCCCAAUCGGCCCAUAAUUCACGUGGCACCAACUUCCCAAUUCCACCGCAAAUAGUACCAGCUUCUGUUUCUCUAUUUACAAAAGAGCCCUCAAUAUGAUUCACAUUUUACCUGUAUACCCCUCGUUUAGACCGAGGGCUUAUUCCUCCUUCCACGACGUACUCCUUGCAGUCGAUGGAUCUCUCUCGCUUGACCCCCUAAGUUUUGACUAAAAUUAAGAUCAGAUGGCGAAAUUGUUCUGGUUGGAGGCCGUUCUUCCUCUUGGAAUCAUCGCCGGAAUGCUUUGCGUGAUGGGCAACGCGCAGUAUUACAUCCACAAAGCCGCUCAUGGAAGAGUUAGAUCAAUAUCAUUCUUUUACCUUUGUUUUUUCUUUUAAUCUGUGGAUAUAUAUAUUUUUGUUUUAUUUUAACUGGAAUUUUAAAAAAAAUCCAGCCAAAGCACAUUGGGAACGAUAUGUGGGAUGAGGCUAUGGAGAGGAGGGACAGGAAGAUCGUGGAGCACUACUCCGCUGCCGGGAAUUAGGUCGGCUCCGGCCAAUAGGUUUGUUAUCUUCUGUCAUUUCCUUGAUCGGUUUAUUGGUAUUAAAAUUCUCGGAUUAGGGUUUGGAUUGGCUGGGCAUCGUUGUGGCGUGUUUUGUUUUGAUGAAUGUUGAGAUUAGGUUCUGUUUGAUGGAGUUUUUUAUGUGAAAAUUCUGGGUUUGGUUGGUGGAAACCGCUCCUGAUGUUGGGGUUUAGUCGUUAUUGAUGAGUGGAUAAUUGUCUGACCUCUUUCCCCUUUGUAAUAAUCCCAUUUGUUGUCUUCCAUUGUAUUUUCUUAUUUUUAUUCACGACUACUUUUGAUUUCUAAUAAAGUUGCUUGGCAUUAUUCUUCUCAAAAAAUUUGGUUUGCGCUAUGCACAAGUAUAUUCGUUUUUGGAAUCGUUAAAUGUCAUGCUGAAGUUGAUCACAUGGUUCUUCUUUUUUUUUUCUUGAGUAGAAGCUCUUGUGAUUUGUUGAGGGAUUUUCGAUAUAUGAUUAGGGAUGAUCUAGACUAAGUUAUAAACUAUAUUCGUAGUGGAAAGAUUUAUUCUACAUUGCUGGGCUCUAUCUUGUAAUUGAUAAUGAGAAUAGUUUGACAAGGCUGAAGAACUUAAAAAGGUCACAUGCAGAUGUUCAUGGGAGUAUCUUGAGUUAGGGCAUUAGAAAACUCCCUCAUGAUACAAUCUGGUCCAUUUCUAUGUACACGGAGAUUAAAGCAGUGGGAAGUCCUCAUGAAGAAGAUGGCUUUGCUUCCAUGUAAUAGUUUGUGGCCAAGGAGGAGGAUUGUGUUGGGUGAUGCACUGGAACAUGGGAAUGGAAGAAGAGAUUUAAUCAUUUGUUAGAUAAUGGUCGUAAACCAUCAUAUCUGCUGAGUGUGAUGACUUUGAAUGAGUAGAAGUGAGAGGUGGUCAUGUAGAUAUGCUUGGUAGUUUAAUGGGAUUGCGAGUACAUAUUUUGGCCUUUUGGAUUAAGGGAGGGUGUUCAAUUCAGUGGUAUCCUUGCUUGUUACCAUUCAUGGCCAGGUAUAAGAGUGGCGCAGGAUCUGUAAUUUCUUCUAUGAUGCUUGGAAUAAUUUGUUACUCUCAUCCAAAUCAGACUUGGAUUGGUUGAAAACGAGGGAAAUUUCUCUUCCUCAUUUUUGGAUGUUGCAGAUUUCCUCAUAAGGUAUUUUUUUCAUCUUAUCAUUUCUAGUUGGAUGGCUGUAAUGUCAAGUAAUACCACAAAAGUAAGGCUAAUCCAAAUCAUGGCAAUUCUCUCCUUUUUUUGAAUGUAGACAAAGGAUUUUCCAGAAAUCAUGUGCAGCAGGAGGUUCUAUUCUACAAAAUUUUAUAACAAGUGAAAUAGCAAAAAGGUGUUACUAAUCUAUCCAUCUUUAUGUUCUAUAUGCAAAAUAGAAAAAAUAAAUAAAAAAAGUAUAAUAUAAAUUGUAUUGGGUUAACCUAUCCAAGUUCUGAUAUCAAGGAAAAAAGAGAAAAAAAAUUGUUGUUAUGUCCUUUUCAGGUUGGAUUGGAUGAAGUCAUAAACUAAUCGGCUUUCUAGAUGAAACUUGUAUGUUCCAGAUGUUAAUGCAGGGUUCGGAGAAUUUAGGAAAUCAACGAGAAUUUUUGAAGGUUGAUGCAAUUCUAGAACUUUGCUAAGGAUUUUAAGUUAAGCUAUUCCAUCCCCUAACAUUGAUAUGUGGAUGAUGUUCUUCCUGCUCAUAAGAUGAUGUUCAGGGACUAAUAAACAAGAAAGAGCUGGAGAAGGAUUCAGAGGCUCAAUGUUCUGAGGGGAAAAUUCCUUGUUUCAUCCUGACCCAUCAUUUGACCAGUUGUCACGAGAUGGGCAAGAAGAUUCAAAAUGAAGUGAAUUUCCUAAUUUGAUACAACCUUCUUCGUGCAUCUGAGAGAAUUUAUUUGGAAAUUUUGCACCUAUACGGAGUCCUCAUGCGGUGGUUAAGCUCUUGCCCAUCGAUGGCCUUUCUUGAAUUACUAUGCGUAGUAGACAUACUUGACCUUAUUUAAAAUAAAAUGUAUUUAAGAAAGUUGUUAAGUUGCAGUCAGUGACUAUUCCAACUUGGCGUAGCCUUUAGAAUAGAUUGAUGACACUCUGAAAUUGAAGGUUCAGAUCAAUUGGUGCAACUACCGCUGUGUCAGAUGAGAGAAGUCUUAACUUUGUGAUGGAUAUGUAAGAGUAGAAACUGAAGGUAGAAUGUGGAUUUUCUUAUUGAUUAGUGUUGGCAUUAGAUACACACAAGUAUUCCUGCAGACGCUUAUCGACUUACCUUAUUUUCUUUUUUAAGUUUACAUCAUUUUUCUCUGGAUGCAUCAUGAGGUCACUGGAUACACCACAAGUAUACUCAUGGUUGCACAUUGGUUUUGCACUCUUUAGCAUUUAUUUUGUGGCUUUGGUUGUUGUUUGUGAUUUUUUAUACUCACAGAUUCCCCUGGGAAGGUAUGAGACAGAUUCAAUCAUAUCCAUGCAAAAUAACAGCCUAUAGGGUUUUUAUGAUAUAUUAAAAAAAUACAUCAGGUCUAAUAUGAUGUGUCUAAGCAAAUAUGGUAUUACAUGUUUAAGAAGGCAUGCCCUCUUGUGAGUUGCAACUAUAUGCAGCCUUGUACAUGUCCAUGCACAAUCUAGAUCUUCAUAUAUACGAUUAAUUAUUUAAUUCAUGCAUAAUCAGUCACAAUAUAGUAACCAUAAAAGUCCAAGUCAUUUGGAGUGUGAAUUUUCAUUUGCAUGGUGUUGAAAACUGCAGUUAUUUAUUGUGUGUUUAAAUACUAUCGAUAUUUGAAAACUAUAGCUGGGCAUUUUUAAAUUUGGUUCCUCUGGUGCAGAUUAUGGCAUAUUGAUGGAACAGUCAUCUUUGUUGGAAAUAAUGUUCCUUGAAACUUGGAGACAAUAUGCUUUCCGGUUUCUUGGACCAUAUCUCUUUUUCAUAUCCUUGUCCCUUAUGCAUUUCAGGAGCCUCUCAAAUAUGAUAUGCAAGAUCUGUACACCUUUGUUUGGAUGUUCGAGAUGUUGUUAAUCGAGUACUGACCUUUCUUUUCAAGAUAAAGAGAAAGAACUGGUUUAUGGCUACAAUGAAUGGAUUUAAUUUGUUUUAUUUCUGAUCUCUAAAUUCUGAAAAUGUCCACACUUGGGAAGCAUGUUCAGGAUAAUAGAAGUAAGAUCUGUAGUUACAUAUGUGUAUAUCCUGUAGGCUUUGCGUUUGUGAUAUGGUCUGGUUUAUGGGGUAUGGCUGCACAUUUAUGUAUGCUUUUGUUAAAGCCUUUGCCUGGUAGCAUCCCAGUUCUCUAAUAUUCUAACAUAUCUCAGUCAUAUCAGAAUGCCACGUAAAAUAUGCACCGUACUUAUGCUUCAAUUCAAAGCUUCAGAGCACUUGAUCCUUGAAAUUUUAAAUACAUAACAACCUUUUUAAGAAACUAAUUUGGUUAAAAGAUUGAUAGCUGAAAAUCACUUGUAAUUACUUGCAAGUGAAUAUACAUCCCAAGGAUUUUCCAGAAAACACUGAAUAAAUGCUUAUAUAGCAGAAACUAGGUAAAGCAUGUAAAACAUAUGUCCAACUAUACAAAAAAAAAAAAAGAAUCAGUUCUUGCUACAUGGCAUUCUGCACUGAAACCUUUGCAAAGAAUGAAGCUGAAACAAAUGAUAAACAAAAAUUAGAAGAAAAAAAUAGAGUGCAAAA
rnacentral:lncRNA from 1 species